GACGAACGCUGGCGGCGUGGAUUAGGCAUGCAAGUCGAACGACGGUAGGGCUUCGGCCCUAUACGGAGUGGCGAACGGGUGAGUAACACGUGAACAAUCUGUCCUUACGUUCCGAAUAAUUGACCGAAAGGUCUUGUAAUGCGGGCGAGGAUGAAGGGAAGGCAUCUUUUCUUCAGGGAACGCGCAAGUGGCGCAAGGAGGAGUUCGCGGCCUAUCAGGUAGUAGGUGGGGUAAUGGCCUACCUAGCCGACGACGGGUAGCUGGUCUGAGAGGAUGGUCAGCCACAUUGGAACUGAGAUACUGUCCAGACUCCGUACGGGAGGC
rnacentral:rRNA from 1 species